CCCGCAUGAUGAUAUCAUGGCAAGUUUGAUGAUCCAGUCAGACCAGGAGAUUAUGGCCUCGAGCCUGCUGUUAGAUGGGUAAUCUUGGUGGUGUGAUGGAGUUUUAUUGCACUGCUGUAAGGGCCCAUCCACAGUUAAAUUGACACCUUCUACAACCUCUGCCCCCCCAAGAGCAAUGGGGUGGGACAGGUAGGAGAUGUCAAACAAUGUGUGGAUGUUUGUUUGUCUUGGUGUGUGUUGCUGUAUGGGUGUAAAUGUAUCAGCUGGCAAGAGGUUACAGUCUCAAUAUAGUUGGUUUGGCAAGAAUGAGCUACAGUCUUUGGUAAACUGAGGGC